rnacentral:rRNA from 1 species
UACGUAGGCAGCGAGCGUUGUUCGGAGUUACUGGGCGUAAAGCGUGCGUAGGCGGUGUCUUAAGUUUGUUGUGAAAUCUCCCGGCUUAACCGGGAGGGUGCGGCGAAUACUGAGAUGCUGGAGUGCGGGAGAGGUAAGCGGAAUUCCUGGUGUAGCGGUGAAAUGCGUAGAUAUCAGGAGGAACACCUGCGGUGUAGACGGCUUACUGGACCGUAACUGACGCUGAGACACGAAAGCGUGGGUAGCAAACAGG